AAGGUAGUCAAUGCUGCCACAGGCUUCGCCUUGCCAGAGAUAUCUGUGGUGAUAUUUGGACCGCAGCAGGAUUCUUAAACGCUACAAUGAUUCAGACAACACGUCGGAAGUAAGCGAACAGGGGAGAGCGUUCGAAAGCUCGCAGCGGCGACGCGGGCUGAUCAGGAAACCGCCGACAGCGGAGGUACACGCCACGCGCCCAAGCGCGCGGCGGCACGUUGUAGGGCGCGCGAGAAAAUAGUUCCACAAAUGUCAGUCCCGCACAGCGUUGCGACCGUAGGUAGCUCACGUAAGCUCCUAAAACCGUGUUCGCAGACAUUUAGGCGAAAUUUCCGCAAAAGUGUGGCACCAUUAGACAGCCUCGGCAAGGACGAUAUAGGGAGGCCGAUCGCGGCAUACUCUGAUUGGUGGGCGCCGAGCCGAAUUUUUUCCAUGGGCCGCCUGCCUCGUGAUUUCUCCCCGAGAACAACGAAAGCUCCGGUAAACCAUGCGGCGACACGGUCACGUAUGUUCUUAUCUACUUGUGUAAAUCUCGCAUGACACGUUACGGCACCCGCGACAGGAAUAAUCCACGCGAGAUAUGGGUUAUUCACAGUGCUGCUGAACGCAGCAAGACAGCUGCUCCCUCUGUCACCAAGACGACCUCCCGCGUUGAGCAAGCGUUGAGACGAUCCAGGACGGCCCGACUUCUCGGGAUGCUUGGCUGCCGUUUUCACAAUUCGCCCGUCUGGGGCGGGGCUUCUGCGCCGCCACCCGCAACGACUAGCAAGUCACGACGUUUUCCUCCGCCUGCUGGACGAGGUCCUACGCGAAACUCUCUCGGAUACGGAAUACAUCCUGGCUGCUCUCGAUUUGAAGAGCGCUUUCGACACCAUGGGUCGUGAGCUCAUCCUGCUGGAAUUCAUCAACACCAACUCGUCAAACCAGAUCGUCUGCUUUCACUAUGCACAAUAAAGGCCCUCCUCAAGGAGCCAUAUUAUCUAGA